UACGUAGGGCGCAAGCGUUGUCCGGAUUUAUUGGGCGUAAAGAGCUCGUAGGCGGCUUGUCGCGUCGACUGUGAAAACCCGUGGCUCAACCAUGUGGUCUGCAGUCGAUACGGGCAGGCUAGAAUUCGGUAGGGGAGACUGGAAUUCCUGGUGUAGCGGUGAAAUGCGCAGAUAUCAGGAGGAACGCCGGUGGCGAAGGCGGGUCUCUGGGCCGAUAUUGACGCUGAGGAGCGAAAGCGUGGGGAGCGAACAGG
rnacentral:rRNA from 1 species